UACGUAGGGUGCGAGCGUUGUCCGGAAUUAUUGGGCGUAAAGAGCUUGUAGGCGGUUUGUCGCGUCUGCUGUGAAAAUCCGGGGCUCAACCCCGGACUUGCAGUGGGUACGGGGCAGACUAGAGUGCGGUAGGGGUGACUGGAAUUCCUGGUGUAGCGGUGAAAUGCGCAGAUAUCAGGAGGAACACCGAUGGCGAAGGCAGGUCUCUGGGCAUUAACUGACGCUGAGGAGCGAAAGCAUGGGGAGCGAACAGG
rnacentral:rRNA from 1 species